ensembl:lncRNA
GAAGGUAUCAUUCUUCGUGGUUACUGCAUAUGAAUAUCUCUCUGAAAUGAGCCAUUAAUAAAGCCAUAAUAAGCAGGUCUUUAUCACAUUUCAUUUACAUGUAGCCUUGGUUUAGUCGACCUAAAAUAACUCCUCAGAGGUUAACAGAUGACAGCCAGGAUGCAAGUUUCUUUAAAAGGAUCUAGCUUCUGCCUGCUGGCUACACAUUUAAAUUCAGACAUGACUUCAGGUGGAACAAAGAUGAAACUGAUAUAACUUUUGUUGUGUGUGACGUAAAGGUCAAGUGUUCAACCUACCAGAAGCCUCCUUUUUUUUUAAGCGCUUUUUUUUUGUCUUCGUCAGCCAAGAACUUUUGACACUGUUGAUGUCUGUGCUCUCCUGGGUUGAAGGCUGCCUCCACAGAUCCUCACAGCUGCCCUGGUAUUUAAAAAGUUAUAUGGAUUUUUUUUCUUUCUUCCUGAACCACAGUCAGUCAUCUUUCUUCUCCUGCCAGAUGAUCUUUCCUUUCCCUUUCUCACUUGCCUGACUUCCCUUUCCUUUUUUUUUCAACACUUCACUCUUAUUCGUAGGGAAAUAUUUUGAGUUGGGAUUUACUCAGUUGAAGUAAGAUGUUUUUCAUUCUUUACCUCAAUCAGUAGUGGCUUUAAUCUUCUUGGUUACUCCACUACUUUUGUCAUUCUUUAUGUGGGUAACCUGUAAAAUCCAUAAAACAAUCAACCACAAAAACACCCGAGGUGAGUCUUUAUUUUGACUAAUUUCUGCUUACCCUGUAAAGAUUCUCACAUCUACUUCAGUUUUGCAAUAAAUGUCGCAUGAUUAUAUCCACGACUGCCCAGGGCUGUCCAUUCGAAUAAUCACCAUUACAAUAGAAACAGCUUACACACUGAUAGCUUAAAGAUCAUUACACCACCAUUAGGCCAUUAAUCUUAAUGGUUGUAAUUCUGUGGGUACUUUGAUGAUAUCUUUGGUGUUACUGUGUCACAGACAGAAAGAUUUGCUUCACUCGCCUUUCAAA